UACGGAGGGUGCAAGCGUUAUCCGGAUUCGCUGGGUUUAAAGGGUGUGUAGGCGGGUAUUUAAGUCAGUGGUGAAAUCUCCGGGCUCAACCCGGAAACUGCCAUUGAUACUAUUUAUCUUGAAUAUUGUUGAGGUAGGCUGAAUACAUCAUGUAGCGGUGAAAUGCUUAGAUAUGAUGUAGAACACCGAUUGCGAAGGCAGCUUACUAAACAAUCAUUGACGCUGAGGCACGAAAGCGUGGGGAUCAAACAGG
rnacentral:rRNA from 1 species